rnacentral:rRNA from 1 species
UAAUAUAUAUUUACUAUAAUUUUUGAAUUUUGGUUAUGAAAUUUUUGUAAAAAUCAUUUAAUUGUUUUUGUAUUUGUUAUGGAUUUAAUUAAUUAUAGUUAUAUUUAAUUAGUACUGUGAAGGAAUAAAAAUAGAAGGGUAAAAUUAUUAAUUUAUAAGUUGAAUUAUUUUUUUGUACCUUGUGUAUCAGGAUUAAUUAAUAAUAAUUUAUUUAUUUUAAUUUUCUCGAUUCCUUUAGAGUUAAUAAGGUAUGUUAUUUAUUGUUGAAUAAAUUAUUAAUAAUAACUUAUUGGUAAUGAAAUGUUAAUCGUUAAGGGGGAUAUCUAGUUUUUUGGGAAAUAAAUUUAAUUUAAAUUCCUUCUUUAAUUAUUUUUUUUAUAAUAUUAUUUUAAGAUGAAAUUUAUAAUAAAGGGGAUAAGCUCUUUAUUAAAUGUUUAUAAGAUAAUUGUAAUUGAAAUUAUAUAAAUUUAAUAGUUAUUAUUAUUUUAAGUAUGUUAAAAUAUUAUUUCUUUAAUUAUAUAUUUUUUUUUCUUUAAAAUUUUACUAAAAUUUUUUGAAUAAUUUUUUUUUAAUUGAGAUAAUGAUUAAAUUAGUAUAAUUAUUUUUAUAUUAUUUUGGGUUGUUAAGUUAAUUUGAGGAAUUAGGCAAUUUUAUUAUUCGCCUGUUUAACAAAAACAUCUCUUCUUGUUUAAUUGAGAAGUAUAACCUGCCCAAUGAUAAAUUUAAUGGCCGCAGUAUACUGACUGUGCAAAGGUAGCAUAAUCAUUAGUCUUUUAAUUGAGGGCUGGAAUGAAUGGUUGGACGAGAUAAUAACUAUCUUAAUUUUAUUUAUUUUGAAUUUAAUUUUUAAGUUAAAAAGCUUAAAUAAUUUUUUGGGACGAGAAGACCCUAUAGAGUUUUAUAUUUAUAAAAAUUAUUUAAGUUUGUAUAUUUAUAAAUUUUUAUAAAUAUUUUGUUGGGGUGAUAGAAAGAUAUUUAUAACUCUUUUUAAUAAUUAUUUAUAUAUUUAUAUAUAAUUGAUCCAUAAAUUAUGAUUAUAAGACUAAAUUACCUUAGGGAUAACAGCGUAAUCUUUUUUAAGAGUUCAUAUCGACAAUAGGGAUUGCGACCUCGAUGUUGGAUUAAGAAUAUAUUUGGGUGUAGAAGCUUAAAUGUUAGGUCUGUUCGACCUUUAAUUUCUUACAUGAUCUGAGUUCAAACCGGCGUGAGCCAGGUUGGUUUCUAUCUAAUAAAUAUGAAAAUGUUUUAGUACGAAAGGACCAAAUAUUUAUAAUAAUUUUUAUUAUUUGAUUAUUAAU